AGCGGGAGACCACCCCCCGGUGCCGCGGGCGUCGGCCCCUCGGACCGAGCUCCAAGCUGGGCGUUGUGCUCUGUCGCUCUCUGUGUUCCGCGGGCGCCGCGGGCGACGUCUUGCGGCUCCUCUUCACAAGGUUCAGGUGUUGGUUGUGUGCGAGCCAUGAACCGCGGCAAUGGCAAAGGCGGCGCGAGGAACGGCGGGAUGCUGGAGCUGCAACUGAACCUGUCGCCGCCUGUGAUGAUGGAUGUGGACGGCGGCCACGGCCACGACGACAGCGGGUCGUCCUCGCCGAGCUCCUGCGUGUCGUCGGAUGGCAGCCCCGGAAGCAAGUCGCCGAUGGUGAUCGGGGCCUGCACGCGGUGCCUCAUGUACUGCAUGGUGGAGAAGAAGGACUUCCCCACCUGUAUGAACUGCAAGCAGCCCUGCCUCGUGGACCUCCUCCAGCAGGGCGCUGGCGGUGGCGCCAGCGCUGGCGCCUCCGCGGACGGCGAGAAGAAGCGCGGCAGGCGCAAGUGAAGACCGCGGUGCGAGCGCGUGCCUGUCCAGUGGAUGCUCACACGGAUGGUUAGUCCACAAAUCACUCCUGAUUGGGAAUUGAUGUAGAAGCAAUAGAAGAGAUGGCAGCAAUCAAUACAUCCAAUUCAUCUGUUUCUGUAGAUAUAGAGGUAAAUUUUCAAAUGCCAAAAAAAAAAACGGCAUAUCAGUCAGACAUUGAAUGUUUUAGUGUUUGUUUCUUACAAAUAAGUGAGGAAGUAUCAGUAAAAGAUAUACCAGCCAGCAGGAUAGAUAAGUCACCUGUUUCUAUGGAUGAGGAGGUAAAAUUUGAAUACCUUCUGUUA